rnacentral:lncRNA from 1 species
GUUAUGCUAUGUACAUAACGUUUUGUCAUCAUAAAACAUACAUAACUGUGAAUAAAACCAAGCUACCUAGCCCUGGCUAUGUCAGCUUACACAAAAUGCGACCAACAAAAAACGUUGUCUCUCAAGUCAGGUAUGGGAUGGUUGCCCUGACUGUAAGCAUCCGUCCGCUUCAGUUGGAAAUAUCAGAUUGGAGAAGGGAGAGGAAGAGCAAAAUUGAGGUAAGGGAGUGCUUACAUAGAUUCCAGACA